rnacentral:lncRNA from 1 species
AAACCAAAUUUCGUUGUAGAAGGGUCUAAAUACAACACAAACAACAUUUUCCAAAAGACCAAAUAAGUGAAAAAGUAUAUUUAAACAAAACGCAUUUGACUAACGGGUCGAACAACUGAUGUUCUUAAACCCUGCUGACUGCCAUUGGCGAUUGCCAAAUAAAUUUAUCACAAGAUGUAGCAAAAUGGAUCUUAAUAUAAAU